rnacentral:rRNA from 1 species
AACGUAGGGGGCAAGCGUUGCCCGGAUUCACUGGGCGUAAAGCGCGUGUAGGCGGUCCGUUAAGUCGGAUGUGAAAUCUCUGGGCUCAACCCAGAAAUCGCAUCCGAUACUGGCGGACUUGAGGAUGGUAGAGGUUGGUGGAAUUCCCGGUGUACCGGUGAAAUGCGCAGAUAUCAGGAGGAACACCAAUUGCGAAGGCAGCUCGCUGGGACGUUACUGACGCUGAGACGCGAAAGCGUGGGGAGCAAACAGG